UAUUACCACUAGGGGUGCUUUAAAGAAGCUGAGAAAAGAAGUAUAUUCUUUAACCCUUUGAACCUGAUUUGGCCAGUACCAACGUAGGGAAGUGAAUGAAGCUUUUU
rnacentral:ncRNA from 1 species